rnacentral:lncRNA from 1 species
CAGGUUUUAGGAACAUGUGGACUAAUAUCUCGUUUGCAUCUGACAGGCUUCCUGGUAUUUUAUGGAACGAGAGAAAUGAGGCACAACGAGCCUGGCUAACAGCGAUGCUGCACGUGUUGGCCCUUUUCCACAAGCCCUCAGUAGUUUAUAAAGACGAAAGUUGUUUAUAAAGAUGAAAGUCACCUGGCUUUUGUAUCUCCUAAAUACCACCAAAAGGCACAUCCAGGAAGAAUCUUGCUCGAAGGUGUACAUUAGGACCACCGAGAAGAUGCUAACCUGGAGGCGGAAAUCACCCAUCAUCAGAUCAGCACUGGCUGAUCCAGUGCUCCAGGAGAACUGCACAUCUGUUGGAGUAUGCUGGGAAAAAUACUGAAUUCUCCCUCUGAAUCAUCUUUCCAGUGUAACAAUGGCUACAGUAUUUGUAGACAGGACAAAACAAAGUGUACUCUCCUACAUAGGAUGGAAUUUGACAGAGUACUGGUACCCAUGUACAUUUAUCAGCAUAGUAUCCCACACCUCCAAGAGAUAUCUCAGUUCUGAUAGUAUGCGCUGAUCCAAGCAACUCACAUAUUGAAGAUGAACUGUACUGCCAACUUGUGGUAUACAGAAUUCAUGAGUCAGACAUGGGAGCACAACAAGCUUAUGGGUUGAAAAAGUCACAACAUUUUUUCUUAAUUAAUUUCAGCUCUUCUAGUUAGCCUUUUGUUACUGAAUCUGGAUCAAUAGUUCUAGCUUUUCUCUAGCAUCAGAAGGACAAAAAAAUUACUUUUUUAUAUUUUUCUUUUUUAAAGAUAGCCAAGAAAAGGAAAACAUUCAGUGGCAUGGAAUUUGCAAAAAGAACGUAAGUUAUUAUCAAAACAUCUAGAACUGGCCUUCUGCCAGUGGCAAAAUAAGAAUUAUCUGCAGAAAGACUUCAACAUAGCAUACUGAAAAAGAACACAUUCCUAAAACUAUUAUAAAAAAUAAGUUACUCAUUAAGAACUAUCCAUCCAUGUCCGAAGUUGAUAGUUCCUUUUGUAACUACGGUGAGUAUUUUCUGUCAAUUGUACUUUUACAAAUCAAUUGGAAAGCAAUGUUUUAUAAAAUGAAAACCCAGAAGAAAACACAUCUAGUAAACAGGCUCCUUUGGAAAAUAUCUUUGUUAUGCUUCUCAGACUGGAUUUAAAUUUGUUUACAUCAACCUCUGCUUACAAUGUUUAUGUUAGACCUCUUAGAAUUUGUGGCUGACCUACAUCUGCAAACAAAACACUUGCUGCGUACUUGGGGGGAAGAAUUUGCAUGACAGAAGAUGAUGAGAAUAUGCAUAAUUGCAGAUGACAUUUUUCAUUCCUAAACCCCUGUUGUACAGACCUUUGGAACUGGCCAUGCAUGAA